UCCAAUGGCCACAAAAAAUUUUUAAACGGGACUAAGCAAAUUUUGAACCGUCUAAGAGUUAUCUCUUACAAAACAUCACACAACAUCAAACAAAUUAGAAUAUUUUGGUUGUUACAACAGCAGCAACACACAAAUGCGUGUUAUUGCAAUUGAAAUCAGCGAUUGUACCAGGCAUUUAUUAUUUCGCAAUUAUCACAUGCACUAGCUAUCAUAAUCGCCACCCACAAUACGCUAUAUCAACAGAUAUAAAGCUUGCGUCAGGGUUACAUACAACGAACUCAAAGUAAGAACAAAACAAGAAAAAUGCUAGAUGAAUAAUAAAAAAUGCAAAACAUGUGAGACGCGCUCACCGCAAAAAGUUGAUGCGCUGUCAAUUUUGUUUUCCCGCGGCUCUACAAACAGAGGCCGCAGUACAGAUAACCAAUGUAGUAGAUCGGAAUGGGCAGAGACGGGAGAAUCUAAUAACGUCGCAUUGUCUAGCCACAAUUGCAAGUUCUACGCCAAAUGCCAAAGUGUUCUGCUCAUUCCGUGCAUUGUUUUGCACUUGUCUUCGAAUAUAUAAUUAUAUAAAUUUAUAUAAAUCAAAAAUGAUUAUGGAAUUGUUAUUGUGGCACAUGCUAACUGGCUGUGACUUUUUGUAGAAAUUAUCAUGACUGACUAUAUGCAUUCAACUAAGGCUGUACCUAAAAAUUAACUAUUAGAAUAAUGUCUUAUUUAAUACAAUAACAAUAAUAGGAAAAAUAAUGCCUGUAUAUUAAAACAUCUCAAUUUUAUAAGAAUUUUCAUUUCCAUUUUUUAUUCGUGAUUCUUUAUCUUCUAUAUUUCGUAUUUCGUUUUCAAAAGGAUGCAUGAUUUAUCUGUUGUGUAUUACAUUAAUUAGCAUAUAUACUAAUUAAAACAUACUAAAUAAUAUACGCAAUCAAUUAAAUAAUUUCACAUAGAUAUAACGCCGGUUACGCAUAUUUCAUUGUUUUUUUUUUCUUUUAAUAUAUGUAUAUAAAAUUAUAAUAUUACAAAUUAUGACAAUAAUAAUUUUAACUAAAAACUAACAAUUUAAAUAAUAAUAAUAAUGAUAAUAGCAGUAGUUAUUAAUAAUCAAUAAUUAAUGUAGAGCACACAAUUUGUAAAUUUUCGUUUGGAGAAAAAGCAGCUGCUUUACUACAUACCAACAAAAAAAAAA